rnacentral:tRNA from 1 species
GAUAGGUCGAGUUAGUGGAAAUCACCUGCCUUCUAAGCAGGUUGUCGCAGGUUCGAUUCCUGCAGGGGUCGCCA